GGAUCUGGAGGCAGAAAGGGAAACCUAAAUUCAACAAUGGAUCUUGUCGUAGUCAGGCCAGCACAACAGACAAACUGAUCUCCACAAAAUGAAGCAGCCAUCAUGGAAAAGUGUUGUAGUCACCCCUGAAAAUUAAAGAUACAAUCCCACGGGACUACCUGGCCAGCCAUCAUGUACACCCCUUUCCAGAUGAGGAAACGAGGCGCCAAGAUGCAAAAAUCGCUCUGAAAGCUCCCCAGACAGGAGGUGAGGGUAUCUGUGGAAAGGCUCUUAAACACCCCCAAACCUACACUUAGGGCCUCAGGGAAGGCAAAGAGGGCCUGGAACAUGGAAUGGAGGGCAGGAGACUGCACUGAACCCUAACUGUGCUGAGUCCAUCUCUGGACUCGUGUAUCAGUACCCAAUGACUCAGGGGCAUAAGAGCACAGACCACCUAAGAAAAGACGGCUGAGGCUAAGGUCGCCACCACCACCAGGCCUAACUAUGACUCUGGGGGUCUCAGUUCAGAGCCCU